rnacentral:rRNA from 1 species
GACGAACGCUGGCGGCGUGCUUAACACAUGCAAGUCGAACGGAAAGGCCCUGCUUUUGUGGGGUGCUCGAGUGGCGAACGGGUGAGUAACACGUGAGUAACCUGCCCUUGACUUUGGGAUAACUUCAGGAAACUGGGGCUAAUACCGGAUAGGAGCUCCUGCUGCAUGGUGGGUGUUGGAAAGUUUCGGCGGUUGGGGAUGGACUCGCGGCUUAUCAGCUUGUUGGUGGGGUAGUGGCUUACCAAGGCUUUGACGGGUAACCGGCCUGAGAGGGUGACCGGCCACAUUGGGACUGAGAUACGGCCCAGACUCCUACGGGAGGCAGCAGUGGGGAAUAUUGCACAAUGGGCGGAAGCCUGAUGCAGCAACGCCGCGUGCGGGAUGACGGCCUUCGGGUUGUAAACCGCUUUCGCCUGUGACGAAGCGUGAGUGACGGUAAUGGGUAAAGAAGCACCGGCUAACUACGUG